rnacentral:rRNA from 1 species
GGAUCCAGACUUUGAUUAUGGCUCAGGAUGAACGCUAGCUACAGGCUUAACACAUGCAAGUCGAGGGGAAACGACAUUGGAAGCUUGCUUCCUUUGGGCGUCGACCGGCGCACGGGUGAGUAACGCGUAUCCAACCUUCCCGCAAGUAAGGGAUAACCCGUAGAAAUGCGGCCUAAUACCUUAUGUUUUCCUUAGAGGGCAUCUGAUGAGGAACAAAGAUCCGUCGCUUGCGGAUGGGGAUGCGUCUGAUUAGUUAGUCGGCGGGGUAACGGCCCACCGAGACGACGAUCAGUAGGGGUUCUGAGAGGAAAGUCCCCCACAUUGGAACUGAGACACGGUCCAAACUCCUACGGGAGGCAGCAGUGAGGAAUAUUGGUCAAUGGGCGGAAGCCUGAACCAGCCAAGUAGCGUGCAGGAUGACGGCCCUAUGGGUUGUAAACUGCUUUUAUGCGGGGAUAAAGUGGGCCACGCGUGGUCUUUUGCAGGUACCGCAUGAAUAAGGACCGGCUAAUUCCGUGCCAGCAGCCGCGGUAAUACGGAAGGUCCGGGCGUUAUCCGGAUUUAUUGGGUUUAAAGGGAGCGCAGGCCGCCGGGCAAGCGUGUUGUGAAAUGCAGUCGCUCAACGUCUGCACUGCAGCGCGAACUGCCCAGCUUGAGUGCGCGCAACGUUGGCGGAAUUCGCCGUGUAGCGGUGAAAUGCUUAGAUAUGGCGAAGAACUCCGAUUGCGAAGGCAGCUGACGGGUGCGUAACUGACGCUCAUGCUCGAAAGUGCGGGUAUCGAACAGGAUUAGAUACCCUGGUAGUCCGCACGGUAAACGAUGGAUGCCCGCUAUUCGGCCCUUGUGGUUGAGUGGCCAAGCGAAAGCGUUAAGCAUCCCACCUGGGGAGUACGCCGGCAACGGUGCAACUCAAAGGAAUUGACGG